rnacentral:rRNA from 1 species
CCUACGGGAGGCAGCAGUGGGGAAUAUUGCACAAUGGGCGAAACCCUGAUGCAGCGACGCCGCGUGAGUGAUGAAGGAAUUCGUUAUGUUAAGCUCUUUUUGCAGGGAAGAAAAUGACGGUACCUGAGUAAGAAGCCCCGUCUAACUACGUGCCAGCCGCCGAGGUAAUACGUAGGCGGCAAGCGUUAUACGGAUUUACUGGGUGUUAAGGGAGCGUAGACGGCUGUGCAAGUCUGGCGUGAAAUGCGGGGGCUCAACCCCCGGACUGCUCUGGAAACCGUACGGCUUGAGUGCAGGAAAGGUAAGUGGAAUUCGUAGUGUAGCGGUGAAAUGCGUAGAUAUGAGGAGGAACACCAGUGGCGAAGGCGGCUUACUGGACUGUAACUGACGCUGAGGCUCGAAAGCGUGGGGAGCGAACAGGAUUAGAUACCCCAGUAGUC